CAGGCCUAACACAUGCAAGUCGAACGAGGUUUGGUCAGUUUGCGGUGGUGCUUGCAUCACCAAUUACCGAUCAAACCGAGUGGCGGACGGGUGAGUAACACGUGGGUAACCUGCCCUUCAGCAGGGGAUAACAUUUGGAAACAGAUGCUAAUACCGUAUAACCACGGAGACCGCAUGGUCUCCGGGUAAAAGAUGGCGCAAGCUAUCACUGAAGGAUGGACCCGCGGCGUAUUAGCCAGUUGGUGGGGUAACGGCCUACCAAAGCGAUGAUACGUAGCCGACCUGAGAGGGUAAUCGGCCACAUUGGGACUGAGACACGGCCCAAACUCCUACGGGAGGCAGCAGUAGGGAAUCUUCCACAAUGGACGCAAGUCUGAUGGAGCAACGCCGCGUGAGUGAAGAAGGCUCUCGGGUCGUAAAACUCUGUUAUUGAAGAAGAACGUGUGUGACAGUAACUGGUCAUGCAGUGACGGUAUUCAAUCAGAAAGUCACGGCUAACUACGUGCCAGCAGCCGCGGUAAU
rnacentral:rRNA from 1 species